AUGAGGGCGCCCAUUCAGCUCCUGGGGCUCCUGCUGCUCUGGCUCCCAGGUGUCACAUGUGACAUCCAGAUGACACAGUCUCCAGAAUCCCUGUCUGCAUCUGUAGGAGACUCAGUCGCCAUCGCUUGCCAGGCCAGUCAGAGCAUUGGCAGUUCAUUAAGCUGGUAUCAGCAGAAACCAGGAAAAGCUCCUAAGCUUCUAAUCUAUGCAGCAUCAAGUUUGUACACUGGGGUCUCCUCGAGGUUCAGUGGCAGUAGAUCUGGGACAGAAUUCACUCUCACUAUCAGCAGCCUGGAGGCUGAAGAUAUUGCAACUUACUAUUGUCAACAAAGCCACAGCGCACCUGCCACUGAAGGUGUCGGCUCCUCAGUCCUGUCUGGGGAGCCCAGGCAUGGGGGUGCUGAUGCUCUCAACUGCCUGCAGAACCUCACCACGUGA